rnacentral:rRNA from 1 species
GAUCCUGGCUCAGGAUGAACGCUAGCUACAGGCUUAACACAUGCAAGUCGAGGGGCAGCAUGGUCUUAGCUUGCUAAGGCCGAUGGCGACCGGCGCACGGGUGAGUAACACGUAUCCAACCUGCCGUCUACUCUUGGAACAGCCUUCUGAAAGGAAGAUUAAUACAAGAUGGCAUCAUGAGUCCGCAUGUUCACAUGAUUAAAGGUAUUCCGGUAGACGAUGGGGAUGCG